rnacentral:tRNA from 1 species
GCCCCUGUAGCUCAGCCGGUUAGAGCAGGACGCCUAUAACGUCAAGGUCGCGGGUUCAAGCCCCGCCGGGGUA